AACAAACGCUGGCGGCAUGCCUAGCACAUGCAAGUCGAACGAGACCUUCGGGUCUAGUGGCGCACGGGUGCGUAACGCGUGGGAACCUGCCCUUAGGUUCGGAAUAACUCCCCGAAAGGGGUGCUAAUACCGGAUAAUGUCUUCGGACCAAAGAUUUAUCGCCUUUGGAUGGGCCCGCGUUGGAUUAGCUAGUUGGUAGGGUAAAAGCCUACCAAGGCGACGAUCCAUAGCUGGUCUGAGAGGAUGAUCAGCCACACUGGGACUGAGACACGGCCCAGACUCCUACGGGAGGCAGCAGUGGGGAAUAUUGGACGAUGGGCGAAAGCCUGAUCCAGCAAUGCCGCGGGAGUGAUGAAGGCCUUAGGGUUGUAAAGCUCUUUUACCCGGGAUGAUAAUGACAGUACCGGGAGAAGAAGCUCCGGCUAACUCCGUG
rnacentral:rRNA from 1 species